rnacentral:rRNA from 1 species
CUGACCGAGCAACGCCGCGUGAGUGAAGAAGGUUUUCGGAUCGUAAAGCUCUGUUGUAAGUCAAGAACGUGUGUGAGAGUGGAAAGUUCACACAGUGACGGUAGCUUACCAGAAAGGGACGGCUAACUACGUGCCAGCAGCCGCGGUAAUACGUAGGUCCCGAGCGUUGUCCGGAUUUAUUGGGCGUAAAGGGAGCGCAGGCGGUCAGGAAAGUCUGGAGUAAAAGGCUAUGGCUCAACCAUAGUGUGCUCUGGAAACUGUCUGACUUGAGUGCAGAAGGGGAGAGUGGAAUUCCAUGUGUAGCGGUGAAAUGCGUAGAUAUAUGGAGGAACACCAGUGGCGAAAGCGGCUCUCUGGUCUGUCACUGACGCUGAGGCUCGAAAGCGUGGGUAGCGAACAGGAUUAGAUACCCUGGUAGUCCACGCCGUAAACGAUGAGUGCUAGGUGUUAGGCCCUUUCCGGGGCUUAGUGCCGGAGCUAACGCAAUAAGCACUCCGCCUGGGGAGUACGACCGCAAGGUUGAAACUCAAAGGAAUUGACGGGGGCCCGCACAAGCGGUGGAGCAUGUGGUUAAUUCGAAGCAACGCGAAGAACCUUACCAGGUCUUGACAUCCCGAUGCUAUUCUUAGAGAUAGGAAGU